rnacentral:misc_RNA from 1 species
AUUUUAAUGUGGGGCUUUGUUUGGUUCUACAGGGUUAUCGUUUUUUAUAUUUAAGUUGAAAAAAGGGUAAAGGAAAUAAUGGCACCAGCUACUAACUGGCUUUCCUUUUCACUCUCUCCAAUGGAAAUGUUGAGGUCAUCUGAAUCUCAGUUCAUAUACGAGGGCUCCUCCACUGCCUCUCCACACUACUUGAUGGAUAACUUCUAUGCUAACGGUUGGGGAAGUUCCAAGGAAGCCCAAGGAGUAACAACAAUGGCGGAGGCUUCCAUUCUCACAAGCUUUAUAGACCCAGAAGCCCACCACCCACAAGCACCAAAACUCGAGGACUUUCUCGGGGAUUCAUCAUCAAUUGUUCGAUACUCGGACAAUAGCCAAACAGAGACCCAGGACUCAUCUCUGACUCACAUCUAUGACCACGGCUCUGCUGCUUACUUCAACGACCAACAAGAUCUCAAGGCGAUUGCUGGGUUCCAAGCAUUUUCAACGAACUCGGGGUCGGAGGUUGAUGACUCGGCGUCAAUGGCCCGGACUCAGAUUGUUGGCGGUGAGUUUGUGGGUCACUCGAUUGAAUCUAGUGGAAACGAGCUGGGGUUCUCUAAUUGCACUGGUGGAAAUAAUGCGCUGUCACUUGGGAUUAGCAAUCAGAGUUCCGCAGAGAAGGCUAUUGUUCCAGCUGAAUCUGACUGCCCUAAAAAGAUUGCCGAAACUUUUGGCCAGCGAACUUCAAUUUACAGAGGAGUCACUAG